rnacentral:rRNA from 1 species
AACGAACGCUGGCGGCAUGCCUAACACAUGCUAGUCGAACGAGAUCUUCGGGUCUAGUGGCGCACGGGUGCGUAACGCGUGGGAAUCUGCCCUUUGGUUCGGAAUAACAGUUGGAAACGACUGCUAAUACCGGAUGAUGACGAAAGUCCAAAGAUUUAUCGCCAGAGGAUGAGCCCGCGUAGGAUUAGCUAGUUGGUGUGGUAAAGGCGCACCAAGGCGACGAUCCUUAGCUGGUCUGAGAGGAUGAUCAGCCACACUGGGACUGAGACACGGCCCAGACUCCUACGGGAGGCAGCAGUGGGGAAUAUUGGACAAUGGCGAAAGCCUGAUCCAGCAAUGCCGCGUGAGUGAUGAAGGCCUUAGGGUUGCAAAGCUCUUUUACCCGGGAUGAUAAUGACAGUACCGGGAGAAUAAGCUCCGGCUAACUCCGUGCCAGCCGCCGCAGUAA